GAUUUCUGGUCGGAUGGGUUUGGCCCGCCAUGGUUUCAUGUGUGAGUGCCGACUCUCAUCUACCAUCCUUCUAGACUCAAUUAUUACUCUUCAUUGAGUUGAUAAUUUGAUCUAGAUCGUUUACUUUGAAAAAAUUAGAGUGUUUAAAGCAGACAGUUGUUAUGAAUACAUUAGCAUGGAAUAAUAAGUUAGGACUUCGGUUCUAUUUUGUUGGUUUCUAGAGCGGAAGUAAUGAUUGAUAGGGAUAGUUGGGGGUGCUAGUAUUUAGUGGCCAGAGGUGAAAUUCUCGGAUUCCCUGAAGACUAACUUAUGCGAAAGCAUU
rnacentral:rRNA from 1 species